UACGGAGGAGGCAAGCGUUAUCCGGAAUUAUUGGGCGUAAAGCGUCCGUAGAUGGUUUUGUCAGUCUGCUGUCAAAGCACAGGGCCUAACCCUGUAAAGGCAGUGGAAACUACAAGACUAGAGUGCAGUAGGGGCAGAGGGAAUUCCCAGUGUAGCGGUGAAAUGCGUAGAGAUUGGGAAGAACAUCCGUGGCGAAAGCGCUCUGCUGGACUGCAACUGACAUUGAGGGACGAAAGCUAGGGGAGCGAAUGGG
rnacentral:rRNA from 1 species